rfam:Brachypodium distachyon strain Bd21 chromosome 3, whole genome shotgun sequence.
AUAAUACUCUCUCAGUCCAACAAAGGAUGUCUCACGUUUGGCCAAAUUGGAAUGGUAUACACAAAGUCAUGUUUAGAUACAUCCAAAUUUUGACAAACUUGAGACAUCUUUUGUUGGACGGAGGGAGUACUAG